UAAGUAGGCGGUGGAAAAUGAACCAAAUGGGAUUCCUUAAGUAAUUGCGAAUGAACAAGGAAAUGCUCAGCUUGAAAAAUGGGGCCUUCGGCUUUGAAUUGUAAUUUUGAAAUGUAUUGCCAAUGGAGGCGCAGGUGCAAGCCUAUUGAAAGAAAGCGUCAAUGAGGGUGAGAUUCCUUUUUGUCAUUUGCAGUCCUCCGUGCACGGUAUAUAUUUGACGAGUCACACUCCUCGGCAUUGGAAUGCAAAGUGGGUGGUAAAUUCCAUGUAAAGGUAAAUAUAUUAUUGAGACUGAUAGCAAACAAGUACCAUGAGGGAAAUAUGAAAAGGACUUUGAAAAGAGAAUUAAAAGAGUCUGCAUUUGCUGAACAGAAAGCAAACAGAAUUGAUCUUGCCUGGUGAGAUUGUUGCGUCUACUUCUGCAUUUCUAUGUUGGAUGUGGGUGCGAUGGUUCUUGCCUUGAAUGUCAGCUUCUUUUUCUGCAAAUCAUUACCCUUGCACAUGAAUGGUAAUUUGCCUGCGGGUAUUGGAAUGCAUGUGUUUGCCAUGAUUUGUGAUUUGAUACAUGUGUCUGGUGGUACUUGUGUGUGUUCCUUUGUCAAAGGGGAAGGUUUGCUUCCUUGAGCACCACAAGCCCUUGCACAAUGUUGCUGGCAAAAUGUUUCUGCUUGACCCG
rnacentral:rRNA from 2 species